rnacentral:rRNA from 1 species
UGAGCAAUCUGCCCUUCUCAUCGGAAUAAGCGUUGGAAACGACGUCUAAUGCCGAAUACGACCUCCUUUCGCAUGAUCGGAGGUGGAAAGCUCCGGCGGAGAAGGAUGAGCUCGCGGCCUAUCAGCUAGUUGGUGUGGGUAAUGGCCCACCAAGGCGACGACGGGUAGCCGGCCUGAGAGGGCGACCGGCCACACUGGGACUAAGACACGGCCCAGACCUCCGUACGGGAGGNAG